rnacentral:rRNA from 1 species
GAGUUUGAUCCUGGCUCAGAACGAACGCUGGCGGCAGGCCUAACACAUGCAAGUCGAGCGCUUCACUUCGGUGAGGAGCGGCGAACGGGUUAGUAACGCGUGGGAACGUACCCAAAGGUAGGGAAUAGCCACUGGAAACGGUGAGUAAUGCCCUAUGUGCCCUUCGGGGAAAGAUUUAUCGCCUUUGGAUCGGCCCGCGUUAGAUUAGGUAGUUGGUGGGGUAAUGGCCUACCAAGCCUACGAUCUAUAGCUGGUUUGAGAGGAUGAUCAGCAACACUGGGACUGAGACACGGCCCAGACUCCUACGGGAGGCAGCAGUGGGGAAUCUUAGACAAUGGGCGAAAGCCUGAUCUAGCCAUGCCGCGUGAGUGAUGAAGGCCUUAGGGUCGUAAAGCUCUUUCGCCAGGGAUGAUAAUGACAGUACCUGGUAAAGAAACCCCGGCUAACUCCGUGUCAGCCGCCGCCGUAAG